AAACGUGUCAAAUUCUUUCCAAGACCUCUCUCUUCUACCUCUUAAAGAGAAACUACAGUAGUUGAAGUCUCUAUCAUAAUGGGGCAUUUAUUUCGAGUCCUGUAAAUCAGGCAACGUUUGUAAAUUAGGCCAUUUAUGUUGGCGAGAAAAUCGCGGCUAUCCAGCUUGGUGGUUGGUGGAGCUGGCUAAUCAAGUUCAAAGCUGUAAAGUAACUGAAAGAAAAAUUAUCAUCAAAGGACUGUGCUCUUUAUGUGGUAGACUACAGUUUAGUCUCCCCUCACUUUCUUACUAGAACAGAAGGCAUCAGUAUCACACUGCAGAAAUCAAAUCUUCAUGGAGAGAUCACUAAUAAAUAUGUGCAAUUCAGCUUCAGUAUUGUUCUGUACUGCAAUUUUAACUAUAGUUUUCACUUUCUACAUCCUUAACUAUCCCAGAACCAUUACUGUUCAGGAAUACAGUCAAACAAACAUCGUCACUCGACAUUAUGAAAACGUUAGCAGAAGUUGCAACCUGUUUAAGGGUCAAUGGAUUCCAGACAUGAGGGAUACUUUGUAUACAAAUUUUAGCUGUACAACAAUCCCUUACAGAAGAAACUGUUUUUUUCAUGGGAGGAAGGACGAAGAUUUCCUGCACUGGAGAUGGAAACCAGAACAAUGUGAAAUUCCUCGUUUCAGUUCGAAAACAUUUCUCAGUAUUGUUCAAGGGAAGACAAUGGCUUUUGUCGGUGACUCUCUUGCCCGGAAUCAAAUGGAUUCCCUACUUUGCCUCCUGUCGACGGAAGAAACUCCAAAAGAAGUAUACAAGGAUGCUGAAGAUCGGUCCAUGACAUGGGAGUUUCCGAAGCACAACUUCACUCUCAUGGCCCUCUGGUCUCAAUUCUUAGUCUCUGCCACGGAGACAAUGUUCAAUGGUUCAGCCACCGGUAGUUUUGAUUUACAUCUGGACAAAGUUGAUCGAAAUUGGUCCGAAAAACUACCUUUCAUAGAUUAUGCAAUUUUCUCAGACGUCCAGUGGUUCUUCAGACAGCACUAUUUAUACGAGGGCAGCAAUCUUAUAGGCUGCAUAUUGUGCCAGGUACCAAACAUGACAGAUCUCGGCCUGAAUUUCGCCAUUAAACGGGCCUUCCAAGCUGCAUUUAAACAAAUCAAUGAGUGCAAGAGCUGUAAAAACAUUUUUACCGUUUUGCGGACAUUUUCACCUUCUCAUUUCGAGAAUGGCACGUGGAAUACGGGAGGUGGGUGCAAUAGAACUCAACCAGUCAAGAUAGAGGAUGUUAUCGGGAGGGAUUCGAAUUGGGAACUCAGGAAAAUUCAAGUGGAAGAAAUUGAAACAGCAAGAGAAAAAGGAGAGUACUUGGGGAAUAGGUUUGAAAUUCUGGAUAUAACAGAAAUUAUGGGGAUGAGACCAGAUGGGCACCCUGGACUCUACGGGGGCAACACCUGGAUGACGGGUUACAGUGACUGCAUCCAUUGGUGCUUGCCAGGCCCCAUUGAUGUGUGGAAUGAACUUUUAUUGGAGAUGAUCAAGAGACAAACCUAUUCCCUGAAUUAGAACUGUAAAUUUGUAGUUUUACAAGAAAAUGCAUUUUUUUUUUUUGGCCGGAAACUUCACAUUUUCUCUAGUCUACUUUGUAAAACCUCUGAUGCAUAUUUGACUGCUUGCGGAGCUAGUCUAUGCUCUUGACAGUGGUUCGUGGAGGACAGGUUAUGAUGGGAACCGAAGUGAUGAGAUUAAAAAAACUCUGUCAACAAAUUGUUGACACAACUGAUGACCG